AGGAACAGUCACAGUGCAGUUCUUCCUGGAUCCACAUAUAUAUUGCUUCAGGGACCAGAAAAAAUACCCGUCUUCUCUAUUUCCAGAAGAUUAGAGUUAUUUGUGGGAGACCAAACAGUGAGGAUGGAGACCGAACUGACCUCUGGGAGCACAAAGGAGGAAAAGUAGCAAGCUGUGCUCCUUCGGCAGCAUGCAGGCGCCCUGGCAUACGGCGGGUACUAAGGAAGAACCAACACAGCUGAGAUGCCCUCUGCCAUGUUAUGAUGUUGCAAGAAGCCUCACCAGAUGCAAGGACAGAUGCUGGAGCCAUACUCUUGGAGUUCCUAGCCUUC